rnacentral:lncRNA from 1 species
UUUAUUUAGGAUUUGGUAAGAUUUGUUUAGGAUUUAUUUAGAAUUUGGUAAGGAUUUGUUUAUGAUUUGGUUAGAAUUUGUUAGGAUUUGAUUAGGAUUUAUUUAGGAUUUGGUUAUGAUUUGACUAGGAUUUGGCUAGAAUUUGAUUAGGUUUUGACUAAGAUUUAAUUAAGAUUUUUAUUUUAGUAUAUUUUUGAAUGUUAUGUUAUUUCUUUAUGAUUUCUUUAAAGGAUCUUUAGAAAUACUUUGUAUUUUUUAUAUAAUUCUUUUGAAAUUUUGAUUGAAUUUGAUUGAUGUUUGAUUAU